GGAAUAACGCAGGGAAACUUGUGCUAAUACCGUAUACGCCCUUCGGGGGAAAGAUUUAUCGGGAAAGGAUGAGCCCGCGUUGGAUUAGCUAGUUGGUGGGGUAAAGGCCUACCAAGGCGACGAUCCAUAGCUGGUCUGAGAGGAUGAUCAGCCACAUUGGGACUGAGACACGGCCCAAACUCCUACGGGAGGCAGCAGUGGGGAAUAUUGGACAAUGGGCGCAAGCCUGAUCCAGCCAUGCCGCGUGAGUGAUGAAGGCCCUAGGGUUGUAAAGCUCUUUCACCGGUGAAGAUAAUGACGGUAACCGGAGAAGAAGCCCCGGCUAACUUCGUGCCAGCAGCCGCGGUAAUACGAAGGGGGCUAGCGUUGUUCGGAAUUACUGGGCGUAAAGCGCACGUAGGCGGACAUUUAAGUCAGGGGUGAAAUCCCGGGGCUCAACCCCGGAACUGCCUUUGAUACUGGGUGUCUAGAGUAUGGAAGAGGUGAGUGGAAUUCCGAGUGUAGAGGUGAAAUUCGUAGAUAUUCGGAGGAACACCAGUGGCGAAGGCGGCUCACUGGUCCAUUACUGACGCUGAGGUG
rnacentral:rRNA from 1 species